rnacentral:lncRNA from 1 species
GGCUUAGGCAUUUAUUGCUCUCCCUGAGAAGACUGGCUUUCCUCAGAGAGCACGUCACAGCAGAAAAUACCACAUCUGGGUGAAAUGGAGUGCCAGCAACAGUGCCAAUGUUUGUGGAGGGUGAAGGAGAGAAGUGAGGAGCUGGAACCCCCACCCCUGCCCCGCCCCCACACCCCCGCCAUUAAAGAAAUAAUUGCAGAACAGAUUUUAACAAUUACUGUCCCUGCAGCGACUGUUGUUAUGGACGGAGCUAAUAAAUGUCUUCAACCAUUACCACUCUGAGA